AUGACUGGCCUUGAUCUGAAUGUGUUACCGGAUGAAUGCAGUGAUGCAGUUACCUGGACUGAUGUGCAUUGUUCUGCUUUGGAAGAUAGUGUGUCCCUGGAGGAUGUUACUAUUUCCAAGAAGCAUCGCCGUGCUUCCUGCCCUGCACCUUUGGAUGUCUCUGAAUUGCGUCGCAGUUCUCGCCGCACCAGGUUCCAAGGAUUUAAGGCUACAUUUGUUGCUAAUCGUCCCAGGAGGCACCCCUUAGUCAAGCCCCGCCCCUCUUCUACAACUGUAGCUGGACCACACCUACCACUGGUGGCCCCUCCUACUGCUGGUCCAUCUGCGCCUGCGCCGCCUCCAUCGUCCACCUCAAUACCUGUUCUCGAGCACAUCGGUGUCUCCCAUUGUAGCAUCUCAGCUUCAGAGCGGUCCAACGAGUGCCUCGUGUAG
rnacentral:rRNA from 1 species